UAACGUUUGUCUGGCUCAUCCUGGGGCGGUAAGUCUGUGNCAUGCUUAACACAUUGCAAGUCGAGCGGGGAAGUGGUAGCUUGCUACCUGACCUAGCGGCGGACGGGUGAGUAAUGCUUAGGAAUCUGCCUAUUAGUGGGGGACAACAUCUCGAAAGUGGAUGCUAAUACCGCAUACGUCCUACGUGGAGAAAGCAGUGGUGAUCUUCGGACCUUGCGCUAAUAGAUGAGCCUAAGUCGGAUUAGCUAGUUGUGUGGGUGUAAAGGCCUACCAAUNGCGACGAUCUGUAGCGGGUCUGAGAGGAUGAUCCGCCACACUGGUGACUGAGACACGGCCCAGACUCCUACGUGGAUGUGCAGCAGUGGGGAAUAUUGGACAAUGGGUGGGAACCCUGAUCCAGCCAUGCCGCGUGUGUGAAGAAGGCCUUAUGGUUGUAAAGCACUUUAAGCGAGGAGGAGGCUACUUUAGUUAAUACCUAGAGAUAGUGGACGUUACUCGCAGAAUAAGCACCGGCUAACUCUGUGCCAGCAGCCGCGGUAAUACAGAGGGUUGCAAAGCGUUAAUCCGGAUUACUGGGCGUUAAAGCGCGCCGUAAGGCGGGCUAAUUAAUUCCACUUUGUUGAAAAUUCCCGGAGCUUAACUUGGGAAUUGCCUUUCCGAUACUG
rnacentral:rRNA from 1 species